rnacentral:rRNA from 1 species
GACGAACGCUGGCGGCGUGCCUAAUACAUGCAAGUCGAACGAGAGCAACCGGUGCUUGCACUGGUCAAUCUAGUGGCGAACGGGUGAGUAACACGUGGGUAACCUGCCCAUCAGAGGGGGAUAACAUCCGGAAACGGAUGCUAAAACCGCAUAGGUCUUCGAACCGCAUGGUUUGAAGAGGAAAAGAGGCGCAAGCUUCUGCUGAUGGAUGGACCCGCGGUGCAUUAGCUAGUUGGUGAGGUAACGGCUCACCAAGGCCGUGAUGCAUAGCCGACCUGAGAGGGUGAUCGGCCACAUUGGGACUGAGACACGGCCCAAACUCCUACGGGAGGCAGCAGUAGGGAAUCUUCCGCAAUGGACGCAAGUCUGACGGAGCAACGCCGCGUGAGUGAAGAAGGUUUUCAGAUCGUAAAACUCUGUUGUUAGAGAAGAACAAGUGCUAGAGUAACUGUUAGCGCCUUGACGGUAUCUAACCAGAAAGCCACGGCUAACUACGUG